UACGGGGGGAGCAAGCGUUGUUCGGAUUUACUGGGCGUAAAGGGCGCGUAGGCGGCCUCUGCAAGUCGACUGUGAAAUCUCCGGGCUUAACCCGGAAAGGUCAGCCGAUACUGCAGGGCUAGAGUGCAGAAGGGGCAACUGGAAUUCUCGGGUGUAGCGGUGAAAUGCGUAGAUAUCGAGAGGAACACCUGCGGCGAAGGCGGGUUGCUGGGCUGACACUGACGCUGAAGCGCGAAAGCUAGGGGAGCGAACGGG
rnacentral:rRNA from 1 species